AGUGAACGCUGGCGGUAGGCCUAACACAUGCAAGUCGAACGGCAGCACAGGAGAGCUUGCCCUCUGGGUGGCGAGUGGUGGACGGGUGAGGAAUACAUCGGAAUCUACUUUUUCGUGGGGGAUAACGUAGGGAAACUUACGCCAAUACCGCAUACGACCUACGGGUGAAAGCAGGGGACCUUCGGGCCUUGCGCGAUUGAAUGAGCCGAUGUCGGAUUAGCUAGUUGGCGGGGUAAAGGCCCACCAAGGCGACGAUCCGUAGCUGGUCUGAGAGGCUGAUCAGCCACACUGGAACUGAGACACGGUCCAGAAUCCUACGGGAGGCAGCAGUGGGGAAUAUUGGACAAUGGGCGCAAUCCUGAUCCAGCCAUACCGCGUGGGUGAAGAAGGCCUUCGGGUUGUAAAGCCCUUUUGUUGGGAAAGAAAUCCAGCUGGCUAAUACCCGGUUGGGAUGACGGUACCCAAAGAAUAAGCACCGGCUAACUUCGUGCCAGCAGCCGCGUAA
rnacentral:rRNA from 1 species